GUUUUAUUUGAAUCAAUCAGAGAGCUUUAAUACAAUCAUCCAAUCAGGAGACAGAGUCGGGAUCUGACCCUAAUUCAAAAUGAUUGGCGCGGCUCGAUGAAUCAAUUGCCACUUUCAACCAGAGGUUUAUUUUUCCUCUCCCCUUCGCAAUGAAAAUAAUAAAAAUAAACCUCUGGAACCAGGGUAGAAGAUAAGUGACAUUAUAUCAAAACAACA
rnacentral:lncRNA from 1 species